GGAACAGUUACUAGCCAUCAACCAUCAGGCUCUUGAACCAAUGAAGAACACUCCAUUAUCCAGGCAUAAGUGCUGCACACCAUACCACCUGAAAGUAUCUGAAACAACUGGAGGAGAGAUUGAAAAAGAAAGAAAGAAAAAAGAAGACAUGCACUAAC